UCGUUCGUGUCUCCAUAGUGGCUAAGUACUGAGGGCUUCAUCUAUCUAAAAGGAGUAAUUUCCAUCUGAAUGUGGCAGCAACGGGACACAGCAGCAGAGCGUCCACAUCCAGAAGGCUGGAGCCGUGUUUCACUGACAGGCUGUCAGACUAAACCCUGAUGAGCUCAGCUGGGACAAUCUGGUCUGAUGUUUAGGAACACAGAACUUUCAGAUGUUGGACCUUCACAUCACCUACUGAGGAAGGAGACCCACCAGUAAAGAGACGGUCUGGACCAGACCAAAAAUAUGGCGAUGACAUCAUGGAACUGGUCAUUGGAAAAGUUUUCUCUGAACCAACUCCGUUUCUAGAUGAGGUAGAGAAGAUCUGCAUCUCACCAACCCUCUGGUCUCAGUAUUCAGACAACGGAGGUCUCCCACUGUUAUCCAGGACCAGUUUGAAGCCCACAUACUGCCCCUCCCUCAUCAUCAGGAAACAUCAAUCCGUAUCCUGAGGACAACAGAAGACAACAGGAGGACAGGAACUCUGAGACCUAGAUACCACCAGCACCGAGAGACAAAGCACCUGUGUGCACAACGCCUGUUUAACUACUAAAGCCUGUUUAUUAUAUUGUUCUACUUAUUUGAGAACCAGAAAUGUUUUAUUGUCCCAAAAAGUGAGAAAUAUGACAUUUGUAAGAGGAUACUGAUGACAUUAUUUCCUAUGAAAGUGUUUCCACUUUCCAUAAGUCCUAACAGUGUAAAUUUCUGGCAUUUUGUCUAAGUAGUGUUUACUACCAUUACUGUAACAGUGAC